GUCCGCAUUGUAAUCUAUAGAGGCGUUUUCUGUGCUGGACCGUGUCCAAGUCCCUUGGAACAGGGUAUCAAAGAGGGUGACAAUCCCGUACUUGACACGACAACCAGUGCUCUGUGAUACGUCUUCUACGAGUCGAGUUGUUUGGGAAUGCAGCUCAAAAUGGGUGGUGAAUUCCAUCUAAAGCUAAAUAUUGGCGAGAGACCGAUAGCGAACAAGUACCGUGAGGGAAAGAUGAAAAGCACUUUGGAAAGAGAGUUAAACAGUAUGUGAAAUUGUUGAAAGGGAAACGAUGGAGGUCAGUCGUGUCUGUGGGAUUCAGCCGUCUCUGGCGGUGUACUUCCCACAGACGGGUCAACAUCAGUUUUGGCCGGCGGAUAAAGGCAGGAGGAAGGUGGCACCCUCGGGUGUGUUAUAGCCUCUUGUUGCAUACGCUGGCUGAGACUGAGGAAUGCAGCUCGCCUUUAUGGCCGGGGUUCGCCCACGUUCGAGCUUAGGAUGUUGACAUAAUGGCCUUCAACGA
rnacentral:rRNA from 1 species